UACGAAGGGGGCUAGCGUUGUUCGGAAUUACUGGGCGUAAAGGGCGCGUAGGCGGUGUGUCAAGUCAGGCGUGAAAGCCCCGGGCUCAACCUGGGAACCGCGCUUGAGACUGGCACGCUCGAGUUCGGGAGAGGAUGGUGGAAUUCCCAGUGUAGAGGUGAAAUUCGUAGAUAUUGGGAAGAACACCAGUGGCGAAGGCGGCUCACUGGCCCGGUACUGACGCUGAGGCGCGAAAGCGUGGGGAGGCA
rnacentral:rRNA from 1 species